rnacentral:lncRNA from 1 species
UUAUUUUGCGAGUUUUCGACCCAUACCGAACCUCUGCCUCUGGACCCUGGAGGGGGCCCGGCGGCCCCCAUUUUAACCAGCCAACUGGUGUAUUAACACAUUUCAAAUCAAAUCUCUCAAGUUGGUUUCUAUACAAGAAAAUAUUAGACCUACAGUAUAUUCACAAAAGAGAUAUAUUCGAAAGGCCUAAAUAUCCCUUGUACAUAAUGCUAAAGAGGAUUAUUAUCACGCUGUAGAUGAGUUCUUGAAUUGUAAAUUUUUUUUUUCCAUUAAGUGCUGUGUUUGCUUAUGUUAGGCCUUAUAACCAUUACACUUUAAGGACCGUCGGAAUCGCAUCGGCCUCAUGCAUGGUUCACUUUAGGGGUAUAAAUUUUAAUUGCAAGUAAUUAGGGACGGCUUGACCCGUAUACCUUUGUGUGGUGACGAAAAUUUGCCCGACUUUAACCCCCAAAAUUUUAUAAAUAGUUAUUUUAUAUUUAUUUUAAACAUUUUCAAAUCAAUCUUAGGCUAAUUAUUAAAUUUAAGGAUUGGCAGUCAAAAACAGUUAAAAGUUAAAGUGUACAUUGACAAUACAAAAACAAGUGCAUGGUGGAUUUUUGUUUAAAUUUAAUAACAUUAAAAAGACAUAAUUAGCCUAAUUUGUAUAAUUUGUAGGUAUCAGUAUAUAAUUAUUUUUAAAAAGUAAUAAAAUUGAGAAAAAGUCGUCCGGCCAAAGCCGGUGCGGUUCCGACGGCCCUGAAUAUGUGGCAGUCUAUUUAUCUGGAUAGGCAACUUCCUACAAGGUAGAUUUCAGCUAGUCGUGCUGGAUGGAGAGUUAUCACAACAAUCAGGUGUAUUAUCCGGUGUGCCCCAGGGCACAGUUCUGGGCCCUCUCCUAUUCUUGGUAUACAUCAACUAACUUUCAUCCAUGUUAAUUCAAUUUUAAUAGGAUAGAAAAACUAUUAUUACAAGUUUUAAUAUAUAUUUUGGGUGAAAUCUGAUGUUGAUCUUUGAAUGAUGACCUUUUGACCUCCUGUGACAUAAUUAACGAUGUACUGUAAUUACAUUGUCCUUUAUACCAAAUGAUAGAAAAUGUAUUAUUCUGCACUUUGAUACUAAAAACAAAAAAAUAUAUUCGAGAUUAAAAUUUGUGGGCAUAAAUGUUACCCCCACCCCAUAUCCCAAUAUUGAACAAAAAAAAGUACCCAUCUUUGAUGUUGGUUUUACAUGCACUGACAACCAGAAAUUGCUUGACUAACAAGGUGUUUUUUGAAGCUUAUACUGUACAUAUAGGAAACAAACUGAAAAAAAUAAUUUCAGCUAUAAGGUGGGGGGGGGGGUGCAUGGGCAGUGUUCAUAGCCACUGGACUAUAACUUGUAGCCAAGUUGAAUUGGGGCUGAGUUGCCUGGGGCGGAGUUGACCUCCUUCCAGAUAGGCCUGCCCUAGACUCUGAUCUAAUCCAUGGCACAUAUUUUAAUUUAUGAAUAAAAGUAUCAUGUAGGCCUAGGCCUACGCUCUAAUUAAAAGCGUUGGUUAAUAUUGAUUUAAUGUUACAAAACUAAAACUGAUGAUUAUUGGAUAGUGAAGAAACACUCAAUAUGGGCCAUACUGUAAAUUAUUUUAAUUAGUUGCACGGAUGACAUCAAAAACAGGAAAGUGGGUGCGCAUAAUCACCAUAAUACACUUGGGUCAAUACCUGAUUUUCAACAAAAACUGUGCAAAAAACAGCCUUUAUUUUAAGUGUGUGGGUGAAUUUCCAGGUUCAAUUUAUUCCCCCACGCAGGCCUUAUUUUACAGUCGGGAAUAUGGGCAAGAAAAAAGUCCUUGAUAUGGGCUGGCCAUACUGUAAAAUAUUUUAAUUAUGCAGUGGAUACAUCUAAACAUAAGUUCUUGAAUUGUAAAUUCAUAAUUUUGCAUUAAUUAUGUUAUUAUGUUUGUAUAAAUAAAUUUAAUGUAUGUAUUUUAUUUUAUUUCAGUAAAUGUUCUGUAAAAGUCCAACCAUUGCAAAAUGCACUUUUGAAGAUGUCAGCAAACCCGUAGACCAGUGGCUAUAAUGUUGCUAUCUCGUUUUGUUCUCGCUAAUUUUUGCUGAAUGUGAACCAGUGGUCUCAUCCUGCUCAGCUCUAUGGCUAUAAUGUUGUUGUUGAGAUUGGCUUGCUAAUAAUUGAAUGAUUCUAGUAUUUAAAUAUUCUUCGUAUUUCAUUUAGUAUUGAAAAAAAUAAAUAUUCAUUGUAUAAUACUGAAUAAAUAUUGGAAAUAGUCUUCAUUGUA